rnacentral:snoRNA from 1 species
AUCUGAAGAUGAGGGCAACUUGCACACUUCUCUUAAAUCUUUCCCAAUACUCAUACAAGCUUUCACCACGUUGCUGCCUAAUUCCAUAUAUGUCCUUUCUAAUU